rnacentral:rRNA from 1 species
UACGUAGGUGGCAAGCGUUGUCCGGAUUUAUUGGGUUUAAAGGGUGCGUAGGCGGCUUUGUAAGUCAGUGGUGAAAUAUGGCAGCUCAACUGUCAGGGUGCCAUUGAUACUGCGGAGCUUGAGUACAGAUGAGGUAGGCGGAAUUGACGGUGUAGCGGUGAAAUGCUUAGAUAUCGUCAAGAACACCGAUAGUGAAGACAGCUUACUAGGCUACAACUGACGCUGAGGCACGAAAGUGUGGGGAUCAAACAGG